AGGAAGCCCAGACGCAGAAGGAAUCCAGAGGAGUGAUGCGCUGAGCGGGGUCCCGGGCUUCCAUCUGUCAGAAUCACUCAUUCCAGAGCAGCAGAAAUCUACCAGCGGAGUUUCCUGUGACUUCCGGCCUCGGCGAGGCAGGUUCAGGCAGCCUCAGGCUCAGCCCAUGGGAGAGGCCUCCUCCCAAUCACAGACCCUUCCUGGUGCCAGAGCUUGGAAGAACUGCCGCAGGGUAGAAAAGGACCUCAGGGCAGCGCGGCUCGCAGAGCAGCCGGCCCGGUGCCAGGAGGAGGAGACGGCGCUAGCAAACACUGACCAGCCCUAGAAUAUGCUGGAAUCUGGGCCUCACUGCCAUGCGAGGCUGUCCACACCCCUGAUGGGCCACUGCUCCCUAACUGAGGCAGACACCAAAUUCAGGAGGAG
rnacentral:lncRNA from 1 species